rnacentral:misc_RNA from 1 species
UCUGGGGUUCAAAACCCAUGUCCAGCAUGCGAUCAGCCUCAUCUAGUACAAGAUAAGAAACCUGAUGUAGACUGAUUCUCCUCAUCUCAAGAAUAUCAUUCAAACGACCAGGAGUUGCAACUACAAUAUCUACUCCACGGUCUAUAUCCCUCAAUUGUGGACCCUUUGGUGCUCCUCCAUAUAGACACGCACAAGAGAUUCUUGAUGACUUCCCAAACUUCACAGCUUCAUCUUGAAUUUGUGUUGCCAAUUCCCUUGUUGGUGACAACACCAAAACAGAAGGACCUAGCUUAGGAUCAUUUCGAAUGCGCUUGAGAUGAAUAAAACCUGGUAUUAAGUACCCAAGGGUUUUCCCUGAGCCUGUUUUAGCAAUAGCUACAAUAUCUCUACUUUGAAGAGCAAUUGGCCAUGACUGCGCCUGAAUUGGAGUUGGAGCAGAGAACCCUGCAUUAUGUACCUCCCUAAGAAUCUCAGGUGGGAAACCAGUGGCUUCAAAUGAUGAAAAUGGUGGCGGCACAUUAUCUCCCGAAAAGGUUAUUUCAUGUCGUUGACGAUAAGACUCGGCAGAUAAACCACUUCCUGCAUCUGAUGGUCUGUGUCCUUUCAACGGUGCUCCUCCAUGCCCUGUACUAGGUGUUCCAUUUGAGGUAUCAUGUGAUUGAAAGGUUUCACCCCUUGCAGCCUCGUGUUUGGGUGCAUGGGAACCUCUUCCGUACUUAUCAUUAUUUUCAUUCAAAUUAUUACUAUAAGAGUGGCCUGAGGAUGGCUUUUGAAUUUGAACGGAAGAACUUAUGGACACUAUUGAUGAAUUAAGAGGAGCAGCAGCCACAGGUCUCUCGUAUUGGGUGACAUUAGUUUCCGGAUUCCAAAAGUAAAGAUACCCUGUUUUUCCAUCAACUAAACCUCUCCAUGGUUUGGGAAGGGUUGGAUCCUCUGGUGCAUAUCGUGGUCCAACAGAUACAGCAGUAGCAGUAGCCGCCAUAAUGAGGAACAGAAGAUAUAUAACUCAGCGACUGUGAUAAAUGAGGCCGGGUGGAUGGAAACCAAUCGAAAAUCGAAACGAUAGCGAUGCGUUAUCUCUCUACCACGCUUCCGACGGCAGAG